GAUGAACGCUGGCGGCGUGCUUAACACAUGCAAGUCGAACGAAGCACCUUGAUUUGAUUCUUCGGAUGAAGAUCUUGGUGACUGAGUGGCGGACGGGUGAGUAACGCGUGGGUAACCUGCCUCAUACAGGGGGAUAACAGUUAGAAAUGACUGCUAAUACCGCAUAAGACCACGGUACCGCAUGGUACAGGGGUAAAAACUCCGGUGGUAUGAGAUGGACCCGCGUCUGAUUAGGUAGUUGGUGGGGUAACGGCCUACCAAGCCGACGAUCAGUAGCCGACCUGAGAGGGUGACCGGCCACAUUGGGACUGAGACACGGCCCAAACUCCUACGGGAGGCAGCAGUGGGGAAUACUGCACAAUGGGGGAAACCCUGAUGCAGCGACGCCGCGUGAGCGAUGAAGUAUUUCGGUAUGUAAAGCUCUAUCAGCAGGGAAGAAAAUGACGGUACCUGACUAAGAAGCACCGGCUAAAUACGUGCCAGCAGCCGCCGUAAUAC
rnacentral:rRNA from 1 species